AUCCUUUUGCAAUUCAUAAGCAUAAUGAUUGGGUUUUGACACUCGUGUAAGAUGUACCUCCCUCAAACCUUGUUACGUUGUCAGCAUAUUACCUAUCUGACA